UUUAUGGAGAGUUUGAUCCUGGCUCAGAGUGAACGCUGGCGGCGUGCCUAAUACAUGCAAGUCGAACGAUGAAGCUUCUAGCUUGCUAGAAUGCUGAUUAGUGGCGCACGGGUGAGUAGUGCAUAGGUUAUGUGCCUCUUAGUUUGGGAUAGCCAUUGGAAACGAUGAUUAAUACCAGAUACUCCCUACGGGGGAAAGAUUUAUCGCUAAGAGAUCAGCCUAUGUCCUAUCAGCUUGUUGGUAAGGUAAUGGCUUACCAAGGCUAUGACGGGUAUCCGGCCUGAGAGGGUGAACGGACACACUGGAACUGAGACACGGUCCAGACUCCUACGGGAGGCAGCAGUAGGGAAUAUUGCUCAAUGGGGGAAACCCUGAAGCAGCAACGCCGCGUGGAGGAUGAAGGUUUUAGGAUUGUAAACUCCUUUUGUUAGAGAAGAUAAUGACGGUAUCUAACGAAUAAGCACCGGCUAACUCCGUGCCAGCAGCCGCGGUAAUACGGAGGGUGCAAGCGUUACUCGGAAUCACUGGGCGUAAAGAGCGCGUAGGCGGGAUAGUCAGUCAGGUGUGAAAUCCUAUGGCUUAACCAUAGAACUGCAUUUGAAACUACUAUUCUAGAGUGUGGGAGAGGUAGGUGGAAUUCUUGGUGUAGGGGUAAAAUCCGUAGAGAUCAAGAGGAAUACUCAUUGCGAAGGCGACCUGCUGGAACAUUACUGACGCUGAUUGCGCGAAAGCGUGGGGAGCAAACAGGAUUAGAUACCCUGGUAGUCCACGCCCUAAACGAUGGAUGCUAGUUGUUGGAGGGCUUAGUCUCUCCAGUAAUGCAGCUAACGCAUUAAGCAUCCCGCCUGGGGAGUACGGUCGCAAGAUUAAAACUCAAAGGAAUAGACGGGGACCCGCACAAGCGGUGGAGCAUGUGGUUUAAUUCGAAGAUACACGAAGAACCUUACCUAGGCUUGACAUUGAGAGAAUCCGCUAGAAAUAGUGGAGUGUCUGGCUUGCCAGACCUUGAAAACAGGUGCUGCACGGCUGUCGUCAGCUCGUGUCGUGAGAUGUUGGGUUAAGUCCCGCAACGAGCGCAACCCCCUUUCUUAGUUGCUAACAGGUUAUGCUGAGAACUCUAAGGAUACUGCCUCCGUAAGGAGGAGGAAGGUGGGGACGACGUCAAGUCAUCAUGGCCCUUACGCCUAGGGCUACACACGUGCUACAAUGGGGUGCACAAAGAGAAGCAAUACUGCGAAGUGGAGCCAAUCUUCAAAACACCUCUCAGUUCGGAUUGUAGGCUGCAACUCGCCUGCAUGAAGCUGGAAUCGCUAGUAAUCGCAAAUCAGCCAUGUUGCGGUGAAUACGUUCCCGGGUCUUGUACUCACCGCCCGUCACACCAUGGGAGUUGUGUUUGCCUUAAGUCAGGAUGCUAAAUUGGCUACUGCCCACGGCACACACAGCGACUGGGGUGAAGUCGUAACAAGGUAACCGUAGGUGAACCUGCGGUUGGAUCACCUCCUUUCUAGA
rnacentral:rRNA from 1 species